rnacentral:rRNA from 1 species
CCCGCUGAACUUAAGCAUAUCAAUAAGCGGAGGAAAAGAAACUAACAAGGAUUCCCCUAGUAACUGCGAGUGAAGCGGGAAGAGCUCAAAUUUGAAAUCUGGCGUGCCUCUGGUCGUCCGAAUUGUAGUCUGGAGAAGCGUUUUCCGUGUUGGACCGUGUAUAAGUCUCUUGGAACAGGGCGUCAUAGAGGGUGAGAAUCCCGUCUUUGACACGGACUACCAAUGCUUUUGUGAUGCCGCUCUCAAAGAGUCGAGUUGUUUGGGAAUGCAGCUCAAAAUGGGUGGUAAAUUCCAUCUAAAGCUAAAUAUAGGCGAGAGACCGAUAGCGAACAAGUACCGUGAGGGAAAGAUGAAAAGCACUUUGGAAAGAGAGUUAAACAGUACGUGAAAUUGCUGAAAGGGAAACGCUUGAAGUCAGUCAUGUCUGCCAGGACUCAGCCUUGCUUCUGCUUGGUGUACUUUCUGGUCGGAUGGGCCAACAUCAAUUUUGACCGUUGGAGAAAGGCUUUGGGAACGUGGCACCUUCGGGUGUGUUAUAGCCCUUUGUUGUAUACAACGGUUGGGAUUGAGGACUGCAGCACGCCUUUAUGGCCGGGGUUCGCCCACGUACGUGCUUAGGAUGUUGGCAUAAUGGCUUUAAGCGACCCGUCUUGAAACACGG